UGCUGACCAGCGCUGCUGCAGACGCGCAUUUAUGGGAAAAUACCCGUGAAGAGAACGUUAAAAUGAUGAUGCGGCAAAUUUUUCGCUUCCUUUUGACACGACAAGCUUUUCACGACUUCAAAGACAGACGCAGGCAUCCACAAAGUUAACAAUUGUAGCAAGAUGGAGAAUAUGUUACUUACACUAUCAGACUCCCAGGGAGCAAUCACAUUAACCGUAAGCAAAGAAAUUGCUGAGAGAAUAAAGAAUGACAAAACAUAUGCAGCAUAUGCAACAAGUGAGAUCUGCAACACAGAAUCAAGCAGAUACUACCCACUGUCCAGCAUCUUUGUCCCAGUGUGGCCCUUCUGUUACUCAAGUCAAGUCAAGUCACAUUUAUUUAUAUACCGCUUUUCACAAUACAGAUUGUAUCAAAGCAGCU